GCCUGGGUGGUUCAGUUGGUUAAGCGUCUGACUUCGAAUCAGGUCAUGAGCUCAGAGUUCGUGGGUUCGAGCCCCGUGUCGGGCU
rnacentral:tRNA from 1 species